GAUGAGUCUACUCAUUACUGUGGUAGGUACAGAAUUGCGCUGAAACAGUUCUGUUAAUAAAAAGUAGCAGCAGGUCUGCCAAGGUUCUCUCUUUUUGGCUGGAGUAGUGACGAUUAUUCAUAGUAGGUUGGUUAUUGUGCGUCAGGUGGAUAGAUUUUUGGGUAUAUCUAGACCUAUGGACUGGAAUAGAAAAAAAGAACACUACAUUUUUCUGAGCAAUCUGAGCGAUUUACCUUCUUUUGAAAUGAUUUUUCAAAAAUCCUUAUACAUGAUUCACACAUUAUGUUUGGUCUCCAUCAUACGUUCAGGGUACCUGUAGCCCCACCUUCACAUAGUAUGUAGUAUGGGCCGGGCCCAUUUUAUCAUAUACAAAAAAAAUACAAGUUUCGUGACAACAAAUGUGCAGUUCGUACUACACUGCCCAUAAUGCAUUACACAGAUCACGUGAUUGGAUACCCAUAGCCUACAUUAGGCUUCAUUUUUAUCUGGCCAGAUCAUGUGACUGGAUUACGAUUCCCCUAAUUUUAUCUAGUGUAGAUGGGAUCCCUUUUUCUGGAUCUAGCAAGCUAGCUAUGCAGUUUUAUUUCUAGUGUGUCUGCUAUAUAUUUUCUAGUAUAACCAACCAUUUUGCUGCAGCCUCAUGUGCUAUACUAUAUUCAAAUUGGCUCCACCAAUUUGUUAAAGCCAGUUUUUUCUAUAUAUGUUUUUUUUUUUUAUUAAAACGAACGUUUUUCUUUUAUACACAUUAAUUAAUAAAGACGUACAGUACCAUUUAGGUAAUCUAAUAUUUUAGAUGAAAACGAUCCAUUUUGACCUAUGUGGUCAUAGGUAAUCAAUUAGUUCCUAUGAUGUUAUUUUUGGGACCAAAUUAACAUUUGAAAACAUCUAUAUAAGAAGGCAACAUUCAGGAGCCCUCUAUACUCUUUGAAAAAGCCUUUGAAUUGAAUUUACAUUAUAUAUACCUAUAGCAUUAUCCAAGUGUACAUGAUACACUACACUAUAUACUGCUCCUGUGUUCAGCUUUCUAUUACAUAUCUUCUUGAGGAUCUAUACUGAGCAUGAGAAGAUAACUAUAUAUCCAAACGUGAGGAUUGUUAUUAAGUCCAAAGUUAAUACCAUGGAGCUGAUUUGGAGCUCAAUUGCAUGUGAGUGUCUCUCCACAUCCAUUCCAUAAAUCUAGAUAUACUCCACCAUUGAACUCUUUCUGUUUUUGUUUUGCAUAUCUAUCCACCUGAAGCACAACAACCAAUCUACUAUGGUGCACUAAUAUUAGCCUGUUUAAAGAUGCCAUGUUAUGUGUUAAUUCUUACUGCCUUAUGCUAUCAUUAAAGGACCACAAUAGUGCCAGGAAAACAUACUCGUUUUCCUUGCACUAUAGUGCCCUGAGGGUGCCCCCACCCUCAGGGUCCCCCUCCCGCCGGACUAGAUGGAGAGGAAGGGGUUAAACUUACCUCCUCCUCUUCGGCUGAAUGCGCAUGCACGGCAGGAGCCACGCGCUCGCAUUCAGCCAGUCCAUAGGAAAGCAUUCACAAUGCUUUCCUAUGGAUGCUGGCAUCUUCUCACUGUGAUUUUGACAGUGACAAACGCGGAAGCGCCUCUAGCAGCUGUCAAUGAGACAGCCACUAGAGGCUGGAUUAACCCAAACAUAAACAUAGCAGUUUCUGUGAAACUGCUAUGUUUAUAGAAAAAAGGGUUAACCCUAGAUGGACCAGGCACCCAGACCACCUCAUUAAAUGGAAGUGGUCUGGGUGCCUAUAGUGGUCCUUUAAUCUAUAAACCACUACUACUACUGUAUGUAAAUUCUUAUAUAUCCUAUUGUACAGUGCUGAUAAAUUUGUUGGCACUUUAUAAAUAAUAAUAAUAAAUCAAGAAGAAUCUUAAUUGACUUAAUAUGGGAUCAAAUCUAGUUUGUUUUUUGGAUAACUUCGAAAUCAUGGUCAAAGUAAGUUAAUUUGUAUUAAAUACCUGAAGAGAAAUGCUUUGGUGGAAGAGGUGGGUCUUUUGCCUUUUGGCCACCACCUCUUCUGUGUCCUUUCCACUUUGGAGAAAAGCCUCGUUGAGUGCAGCAACAACAAUGACGAAAGGAGGCGAGGAAUGUGAGGUACCCAAACCCGCAAAUUACAGGUGGACUCAAAGACUGGACCUGGCUUUCCACAGUGGCAUUUGCAUGGGCACGGGGCACUAUGAAGAAGUCACAAACAUCAGACUUCAAUAAAAAAAAAAAAAAAAAUAGAAUUGUCUUUGUCUUUUCAAAAGGCAAAUGCAAUGCCGCAGUGAAACAAAUUAUGACGGCAUAUAUAAAAAAAAUUGACUAACACUAGUGAAGGCAACUUUUUUUUUUGUGCAAGAUUGAAAAAUGGUUCUACAGUUUUUACAAGGGAUGGCUUAAAAAGAAUUGUCUUUUUUUAACCGAACAGGUAAUUUACCAAAUAGUCUUCCAGAAAACCUGGUUUUCCGAUGUGCAAACAAAAGAACUUGGACAUAUAUUGACAAACUCUGUGACAAAAGAAAUGACUGUGGCGAUUGUUCCGAUGAGUCCGGUAGGUUUUAACGAGUAACAAGGUUAAUUUAUAAAAGGGCCAAUUUCUACUGAAAUCGCCACUUUUUGGAAAAUGGAAAAGAAAAGGUCACACUCUUCACACAAAUCAUUACAGCUAGCUAAAGUGCUUUAGGGGUCUUGAGUAUCCCUUUAAAAUGUCUUAUUCUGUUAUGUCUUACUCGAAGCUGUUCUAAACUUGCAUGGUCCAAGGAGACAAAAUAAAAGUCUGUACCAGACACAAUAGGAUAUUUUCUUAAAUGAAUAGAUAUUGGCUGGUAACAUCACUGCCUUAGACCUAGUAAACCCAGGUUCAAAACCUUUUUGGACCACUUGGGCAGGAUAUCGAAUGGAAAUAUUCAACAAACCUCAAAUCCUCAUAGACUGUAAGCUUAUAUUAAGCAAUACAGUUUGAAAGUCUGGAAAUCAAUGAAAUAGUUCUCCUGUUACUCCCUUCACACAAAUUAAUCAGAAAAUAAAGAAAUACAAGUUUGGCCAAACUGUUUUCAAUUCAUAUAGAUUAAGGUUAUAUAUUCUUUCCUAUUCUUUCAGCGCUGCGUUGUCCUCUCUGUCCGGGAUGGAGGUGUAGCACAGUCUUCUUUGCGGAUUGUGACUGUAUCCCCAAAACACGCUGUCAUGACAACAUUCAGGACUGCACAGACUGGAGUGAUGAACUAUCAUGUUAAUAUUAUAGUCUCUCUAUG